CCUUCUUUCCCCUACUGAAUUUACCACUUUAGGUUUCUGCUUUCAAAAAUAAAGGUGAAUUCACUUCAUGUUCAGUGCUACCUUCCCUUCAAUAAUAUUAAUUGAAUGAUCACCAACAGUCUUUUUGCAUUUGCAGACUUUUCAGUUUCUAUGCUAAAACUGGAACAAAAAGAAAAAAAAGUUCUUCAAUUCUGUGAAAAGACAAGUGGACAAAGCAAAUUCCACAUGCCAGUCAUCCCAUCCAUGUAUGCAAGAGCAGCAACACCAGAGCACCAAUUUUGUUGCCUUCUGCUGGCUCCCAAUAUGGAAUUGCUGACAAGUUUUGGGCACUAAGUUCAGAGCAGCUGUGCACAGAUCUUGAGACUUCCCUAUAUCUUCUUUCCUCCAUCCCUCUUUCCUCAUGAACCAGACCUUCAAUGGGAGGAGG
ensembl:lncRNA